CAGCAGCCGCGGUAAUACGUAGGGUGCAAGCGUUAAUCGGAAUUACUGGGCGUAAAGCGUGCGCAGGCGGUUAUGCAAGACAGAGGUGAAAUCCCCGGGCUCAACCUGGGAACUGCCUUUGUGACUGCAUGGCUAGAGUACGGUAGAGGGGGAUGGAAUUCCGCGUGUAGCAGUGAAAUGCGUAGAUAUGCGGAGGAACACCGAUGGCGAAGGCAAUCCCCUGGACCUGUACUGACGCUCAUGCACGAAAGCGUGGGGAGCAAACAGGAUUAGAUACCCUGGUAGUCCACGCCCUAAACGAUGUCAACUGGUUGUUGGGAGGGUUUCUUCUCUAGUAACGUAGCUAACGCGUGAAGUUGACCGCCUGGGGAGUACGGCCGCAAGGUUGAAACUCAAAUGAAUUGACGG
rnacentral:rRNA from 1 species